rnacentral:rRNA from 1 species
GACGAACGCUGGCGGCGUGCUUAACACAUGCAAGUCGAACGGAAAGGCCCUGCUUUUGUGGGUUGCUCGAGUGGCGAACGGGUGAGUAACACGUGAGUAACCUGCCCUUGACUUUGGGAUAACUUCAGGAAACUGGGGCUAAUACCGGAUAGGAGCUCCUGCUGCAUGGUGGGGGUUGGAAAUUUUCGGCGGUUGGGGAUGGACUCGCGGCUUAUCAGCUUGUUGGUGGGGUAGUGGCUUACCAAGGCUUUGACGGGUAGCCGGCCUGAGAGGGUGACCGGCCACAUUGGGACUGAGAUACGGCCCAGACUCCUACGGGAGGCAGCAGUGGGGAAUAUUGCACAAUGGGCGGAAGCCUGAUGCAGCAACGCCGCGUGCGGGAUGACGGCCUUCGGGUUGUAAACCGCUUUCGCCUGUGACGAAGCGUGAGUGACGGUAAUGGGUAAAGAAGCACCGGCUAACUACGUG